UCAAAAACAAGAAAAAGGGAUAUACAUGAUACCUCUAUCUAGCUCUGAUUACCAACUGAUGUGAGUGCGGUAGCUAUUUUAGGAUCUUAGAGGACACGUUGCAAGAUGAAUGGAGUCGAACCCAAACUUGGACCACUCAAGAACGGAUUCAACGGUAGAGGACGCCACAAUCAAGUGUGUUUGCUUGAUUGAUAAGUCAACCAACAACCUAGGAUCAACUCUAGGAUGUUCAAACUGGCUUUCACAAGCUAAAGAAAUUUGCCACAACCAAUGGAUGAAAUUCUAGAAUUUUUAUUGAAUAAUAUCGAAAAAACUUCAAUGUAACAUCAACU
rnacentral:lncRNA from 1 species